rnacentral:rRNA from 1 species
CCUACGGGAGGCAGCAGUGGGGAAUAUUGGGCAAUGGGCGCAAGCCUGACCCAGCGACGCCGCGUGAGUGAAGGAGCGUUUCGGCGCGUAAAGCCCUAUCCUCAGGGACGAAGAAGGACGGUACCUGACUGAGAAGCCCCGGCUAACUACGUGCCAGCGGCCGCGGUAAUACGUAGGGGGCAAACGUUAUCCGGGUUUAGUGGGUGUAAAGGGGGCGCAGACGGGAGCGCAAGCGAGGGGUGAAAACCCGGGGCCCAACCCCGGGACUGCUCUUGGAACUGCGCGGCUGGAGUGCAGGAGGGGCAGGCGGAAUUCCUGGUGUAGCGGUGAAAUGCGUAGAUAUAAGGAGGAACACCAGUGGCGAAGGCGGACUGCUGGACUGCGACUGACGUUGAGGCCCGAAAGCGUGGGGAGCAAACAGGAUUAGAUACCCUAGUAGUC